AGGCGCCUCCCCCACCACCGAUCCCCCCAAAACCACCUUCUUCCUCUGCCCCCACCCCACCCUAGCGCCGCCGCACCCCCGCCCCUAGCGCCGCCGCACUAUAUCCUAGCGACGCUUCCCACCCCAUCCUACAACCACCGCCCCCUCCCCGUGUCGCCCAAUCCGCCGGUUACUUGCUGCGUCGCCGCCGCCGCCUGCCUCCGGCCAUCAGCCCCUCCCCCCUUGAUGGUGACCAUGCCCGGCGCCCCCACCCCCAGCGCCUCACCUGCGACGGAUCUGGGCAGAGCUGGUCUGCUGCGCCAGUAGGAGACGGGAUCGAGCAGAACGCCGCUGACCCGCGCGUUCUCCCUCGCUGCUGGCCCUGAUGGAUCGAGCAGGCUGACCCGCAUCGGCGCCCCUCCCCGCCUCUGAUCGCCAUGGUUCCCGGCGACCCUGCCUUCUCCGUGACUGGCCAGCACCGCGCCCGCUACUUUUCCCGGACUCGCCGAUGCACGGGCCACCCGACCCCAACCCCGCUCCCACUCCUCCGAUGGAAACCACCACCCUGGCCCUGCAUCCUUCCUCCAUCGUGCUCACCCGUCGAGAGCCACAUCCUCCUGACCCCAUUUUCUCUUCUCUGUGCAGCUCGGUAGCGCGUAAAUGUGCAGUGCGGUAGUGCGUAAGCGUGAAGUGCGGCGGUGCAGGCACACCCCCUCCCCUCCCUCGUCCUCCGGCCACAUCCCCUGGGGCCCUCCCGCAGUCGAGCGACAACUCGUUCCUGUCCUCACAAGUUGCAGGUCCGCCACCCAAAGGAAGGAGCGCGGGCGGCGGGAGAAGAGAGCAGCACGCUGCCCGGUUCUCUUCCUCUUCUUCCACCGCCGCCACCGGCAGAGGAGGUCGGGCGAUGGCGCCAGAUGGGGUGCAGUCCCCUGGGAUCUCCAAGUGGUUCAAUUGCCCCAGGGUUGCAGUGCGGUUCCUCGUGAGAGGCAUGCGGCGUCCCGAGCCGUCCUGAUGCACACGGGCUUGCAGUGGAGCACCUCCUAUUCUGUGAUGCGUGGACCUAAGAUCGAGAGUUCCAUGCUCCGCGAUGGGAGAGCACCUGCCGGAAAGCCCAGCAAGCCAUCGCUGCAGUCGACGAGUGCGGCUCUGCACACGGGCAUGCAGUUCUGCCCACGGUGAAGUGCAGCUCGACCAACAGGGACCUGCAGUUCUGCCCAUGCCGUCGAAGGAUUCUAACUCUGCACAUGGGCGCGCAGUACUGCCCGUGAGGAAGUGCAGCUCGACCAACGGGGGCCUGCAGUUCUGCCCACGGUGUCGAAAGCUUCUACUAUAUAAAUGGGCGUGUAUGACUGCCGGUGGGGGUGCAGCUCGAACGAAGAACAGGGUCGACGCUGGAGUUCGGUUCAGAAGUUGGAGGUCGUGUAGCUCGAUUGGUGCUCCCCCAGUGCAGCUCAUAACAAUUUCUCUGUUUAGAUAUGCGGUGUAGAGCAUAGUUGACCGGGGAUGCUCAAGUGUAGUUUGUCUCUUUUUUCUUGAAGUAUUGUGUAGUUUGUCACUUGUGCCGUGCAGGUUCCCUUUGUCUAUGUGGAUCACUUUGUGAAAAAAGUUGUACCAAGGAGUUCACGUUUUAUUGUUUUUGGAGGAGUUUUUUUUGCAA